rnacentral:rRNA from 1 species
ACUCCUACGGGAGGCAGCAGUAGGGAAUCUUCCACAAUGGGCGAAAGCCUGAUGGAGCAAUGCCGCGUGAGUGAAGAAGGUUUUCGGAUCGUAAAACUCUGUUGUUGAAGAAGAACAUGCGUGAGAGUAACUGUUCACGUACUGACGGUAUUCAACCAGAAAGCCACGGCUAACUACGUGCCAGCAGCCGCGGUAAUACGUAGGUGGCAAGCGUUGUCCGGAUUUAUUGGGGCGUAAAGAGAAUGUAGGCGGUUUUAUUAAGUUUGAAGUGAAAGCCCUCGGCUCAACCGAGGAAGUGCUUCGAAAACUGGUAAACUUGAGUGCAGAAGAGGAAAGUGGAACUCCAUGUGUAGCGGUGGAAUGCGUAGAUAUAUGGAAGAACACCAGUGGCGAAGGCGGCUUUCUGGUCUGUAACUGACGCUGAGAUUCGAAAGCAUGGGUAGCAAACAGGAUUAGAUACCCUGGUAGCGACUGA